UUAUGGGUCUCUACAUGAUCUGGUUCUUCAGUUCGGCUGGGUGGAACACAGGUGNUGCAUGGCUGUCGUCAGCUCGUGUCGUGAGAUGUUGGGUUAACGUCCCGCAACGAGCGCAACCCUACCGUCAGUUGCCAUCAUUCAGUUGAGGCACGUCUGGUGGAACCGCCGGUNACAAGCCGGAGGAAGGCGGUGAUGACGUCAUAGUCCUCAUGGCCCUUAUGGGUUGGGCUACACACGUGCUACAAUGGCGGUGACAGUGGGACGCGAAGUCGCGAGAUGGAGCAAAGUCUCCCAAAGAGCCGUCUCAGUUCGGAUCGCACUCUGCAACUCGAGCUGCGUGAAGUUGGAAUCGCUAGUAAUCGCGGAUCAGCGACUGCCGCGGUGUAAUACGUUCCCGGGUUCUUGUAC
rnacentral:rRNA from 1 species